CCCCAGCUGAGUCCUGCCGGGAAUAAACGCUCCUUGUGUCUGCUCAAAACCACCGUGCUUCCCCUGGAUGGGGACGUGGACAAACAGCAGCAACACCUGGGGCUGGUGUUUCCCAGGUGGUGUUUUGCUGUUUCUCUAGUUUCAGCAGUGGGAUUAGAGAGGUGUUGUUCCUGUUAACCAAUCGUGUUGGGUCUGCAUCAGAACACCUUACAAAAGGUGUUAUAAAAGUGACGCUGGAUAACCAGGAGAGGAUGUGGAUUCCUAAAAGCACACCAAGCCACUCUGCCGGACGAUAAACGCGUCCUAAAACCCCCUCCCACCACAAGCAGGGUCACCCCCGGGACAGAUAUUUAUUCCUAAGAAACUGCCAGGUGGGAUUUAUUGACUGAGCAACCACUCGCCAGCAGUGGUUUUGCAGGAACCUCUGGGGGAAUGCCGGGGAAGCCCUGACCCAGGGAAGGCUCUGCCAGCUGCCUGGCUCCUCACGUCCCUCCGCCUGCAGGCUCCAAGUGCUGCUGCUCCCUGGCAGUGCCAGCGGCCCUCUGAUGGCCUCUCCCUGAUGGGUCUCUGGAGGAAGACCACAAAUUAGAGACUUUCACCCUGCGUGGAUGAUAAUAAGUCCAAGAACAAAGACAGAUUGCAGUAACCAAGGGCUGGAUCAAUAGCUUUAAUCCUAGAGCACAGACAGCCCCUAUUAAUUCAAAGUAAAACACUCCAGACUGAGAAUUUAGUGGUUAGAAACAAAUUGGUUUUGAAAACUCGUUUGUUUUCCUUUUCCCCCUCAUCCCUUCUCUAAUUUGGGGGAUGCAGCAGGGGUGGAUUUCUUCCUCCGAGGAGGAGCACUGCCAACCUUGUCUCUGGAGUCAGCCAACACACCAGGCAGGAGCGUGGGGAGAGGCAGGACAGCUUUCCUGAGCACAGAGCACUCCCCCAGCGGAGCCUCUCCAGGGAUAAAUGACAAUUCCAGCAUGUUUGGCCUGGGGGCCGUGCAUGCUGCAGAGCCAGCCCCACCCUGGUGCCUGGGAGCUGGGCUGGAGGUUUCUCUGUCCCGGGGAAAUCUUCCAUUGCCCUCUGGCUGGCUGUGAGGGAAGCCAAGGGACAGCCCAGGCCCUGUGCUGGCCCCACAGCGGACUGGGGCUGCUGUUCCUGGGCUCCUUCACCUGGAGGUGGUGGAGUGUCCCCUCCUGUGUCCCGCUCCGGGGAUGCUGUUGGUGGCCAGAGGAGGUGGAUGGCAGCAGGGUGACAGCAGUGCCCACCUGACCCGGGCUCCGGAGGAGGGGGAAUUCCACAGAGGCUCUGGGAACCCAGGGCUCUCACCGUGCCCUGACCAACAGCCCACGGCAGGGGAUGGGCGACAGGUCAGGGGACAAGGGGGGAGCCUGGAAGGUCUCUCUGGUUCCCUUUUCUUUCCCCACCGCAAGUUUCUUUUGUGACUCCAGCGAGUCAUUUAAUGUCUCCAAGGUUCCCCAUUUGCAAGAGCGGACUUUCCCAAUCUCCCAGGAAUGUUACAGGGAUAAAUGCACCAAGGAGCCUCUUUUGAUGUAGCCAGGGGUUCAGCCAGCUCCUCCCCCGAGCAGACAGACAGGAAAAAUCCUGAUGAUUUUCUGCGAACACGUCAGGUAUUGCUAAGAAAGGCAGGAGAGUUUUGUGUGGCUGCAUCAAAGCACGCAGGGAUGUUUGGAAGCUGCUCUCCAUAACUGAUAUGAUUUGCCAUGGACAAGACACUGGAGUUUGGCCGUGUUAGAGGCUGCUGCUUUAGGCCCUUGAAUAGCUCAAGGGAAGGCAGAGA